rnacentral:rRNA from 1 species
AGCGAACGCUGGCGGCGUGCUUAACACAUGCAAGUCGAGCGCCCCUCCUUCAAGCGAGCUUGAAGGACCUUAAAACAAACAAGCGACCCGAAGGGUCGCUUGAUGGAGGGGAGCGGCAGACGGGUGAGUAACGCGUGGGAACGUGCCCUUCGGUUCGGAAUAGCUCCGGGAAACUGGAAUUAAUACCGGAUACGCCCCUAGGGGAAAGAUUAUCGCCGAAGGAUCGGCCCGCGUCAGAUUAGGUUAGGGUUGGGGUAAGUGGCCUACCAAGCCGAUGAUCUGUAGGUGGUCUGAGAGGACGAUCACCCACACUGGGACUGAGACACGG